AACGAUUAGAUUGACGGCACAGAGUGUUGCUCUUUCACGCAAGUGUUUGGGCUUCGCUCACACGUGUCGUCGGUUGACACCUUGAGUAAAUCAGAGUGCUUAAAGCAGUCGUUGAAACACUACGGCUGCGACUUACCCUCUCGCGAGGCUAAAGUCGUAUGUCUAUGGUGACGUCGCAAGACGUUUGGACAUUGUCUUUGCUUUGCAUGGUACGUCGGAAGACGCCGUGUGAGUUGGUUGCGCUUACGGUAAGACAUCCUUCUGUGUGUGCGCGUGCACCAACAAGCACGGAAUGAAUUGACAGGGAUGGCUCGAAGGCAUUGGUAUUGCGGGGCGAGAGGUGAAAUUCUAUGACCCCCGCAAGACUUCCCGAAGCGAAAGCGUCUGCCUAGGACGUCUUCAUUAAUCAUGAACGAAAGUUGAAGGAUCGAAGGCGAUCAGAUACCGCCCUAGUUGCAACCGUAAACGAUAUCAACCAUCAAUCCGUCAAAGCGUUCCCUUGAGUCUUCGGAGGCGGGCUUCGCGGCCCUCUUCGGGGACAAAGUGUAAGCGCUUGAUGGGCAGCUCUUCUAUCACGGGA
rnacentral:rRNA from 1 species